UUUUCUCUCUUCUUUUUUUUUUUCACCCGGCCUCUCUCCCUCGCCUUCCUCUCCUCCUCGCCUUCCUCCCAUUCCUCUCGAUUCCGGCGUCCAAUAGCCAGGCGCGCCGGCCGCCGGUACCCGCGGCGGCGGCGGCGGCGGUGCCUCCCCUUCCUUCGCGGCGUCUUCCUCCUUUGCGCCGGCAUCCUUCGUCGCGCACGCAGGGAAAUCAACGCCUCUCCCGGGUGAUUGCGCCGAGAGGGGUAGGGAGAAGGGAGGGAGAUCCGGCCACCCUGCAAGGCAUCGUCACCGCCGUGAUCUGGAAGCACUAUAUACAACUACAUAGUGAAUCUGAGGCCAUUGUUUGGUGCAUGCCUUCAUCGGAAGUUCUGCCUUUUUUUUUUAACUUGAGUUGUAUGGACUACUUAUGAACGUGGAACUUCUCUAUCCUUUUGUAAUAAAACACUAUAAUUCAGAUGGUUGGAGUGUAAUGCUUGUGAUAAAGCAAAAUGCUUUUACUCUUAUUUGGAGUUUACAGACUGAGUUGCCUGUAAAUUUGUAAAAAAUAGGUUGGAAAAUUGGUAUGAAAAAUCUGACUAUCUGAGAGUACUAGAUGAUGCUUAUUUGUUUUUAUUAA